ACAACACACUGUAGCUAGUAGUCUAAAACGCAGCAACAACACACUGUAGCUAGUAGUCUAAAACGCAGCAACAACACACUGUAGCUAGUAGUCUAAAACGCAGCAACAACACACUGUAGCUAGUAGUCUAAAACGCAGCAACAACACACUGUAGCUAGUAGUCUAAAACGCAGCAACAACACACUGUAGCUAGUAGUCUAAAACGCAGCAACAACACACUGUAGCUAGUAGUCUAAAACGCAGCAACAACACACUGUAGCUAGUAGUCUAAAACGCAGCAACAACACACUGUAGCUAGUAGUCUAAAACGCAGCAACAACACACUGUAGCUAGUAGGUAAUGAUACUUCUGGGUGUGGGCGUGGUUGUGGGUGUGGUCGUGGGCGUGGCCACAGUUUUCAAAGAGUUUCUUGCAGUUAUACACUUUCAUGGGGAUGAGAUUU